UGGGGAAUAUUGCACAAUGGGCGCAAGCCUGAUGCAGCCAUGCCGCGUGUAUGAAGAAGGCCUUCGGGUUGUAAAGUACUUUCAGCGAGGAGGAAGGCGGUAAGGUUAAUAACCUUAUCGAUUGACGUUACUCGCAGAAGAAGCACCGGCUAACUCCGUGCCAGCAGCCGCGGUAAUACGGAGGGUGCAAGCGUUAAUCGGAAUUACUGGGCGUAAAGCGCACGCAGGCGGUCUGUCAAGUCGGAUGUGAAAUCCCCGGGCUCAACCUGGGAACUGCAUUCGAAACUGGCAGGCUAGAGUCUUGUAGAGGGGGGUAGAAUUCCAGGUGUAGCGGUGAAAUGCGUAGAGAUCUGGAGGAAUACCGGUGGCGAAGGCGGCCCCCUGGACAAAGACUGACGCUCAGGUGCGAAAGCGUGGGGAUCAAGCA
rnacentral:rRNA from 1 species